CUCCACACCAAUGAAUCCAUCACUCCACACCACUGAAGUCUCAGCCAACAUCAUGGCAGCAGUAGGACUCCUCUGGCUUGUGAUCGCCACAGCCUCCAUCCUUGUCAAAUGUGAGGACGCAAAAUCUGAAGACAAAAACAUCUACCCAGCAAAGAUCUUUGGACCGUCUAAUGUGACUGAAGGGGUAAAUGUCCAUUUUAAAUGUAGCAUUACUGGCAUCAGAGGACCUGAGGACAAGGUAAAUGUUUACCUUUGCAAGAAUGGAGUUGGGAUAAGAAUUGCGAAGCUGGAGAAAGGUGAAAAUGACGCUAUUUUCACCAUGAAGGAUGUUACAAGAGAAGACUCAGGCAACUACAGCUGUGUUUACACCAGAGAUAAACCUGUACCCAGUCACUUGAAGUCAACAGGGGAGAAUUUAAUAGUCUUUCAUGUCGAUGGAGAAUGGAAAGAGGCUGCGCAUGAUGUGAUACUGGUCAAUGUAAUCCGACUGAUAAGUUCAGCUGUUGUGGUCAUACUUCUGCUGACUGUAGUGGCUGUUAGUUCUUGCUGUUCAAAAAGAGGUACUGAAGCUAAAAAGGACCACUACAGUAUGCACUGUAAUCUGCCAACCUAGUACAAUAUGACGGUGACUCUAAGCGGCAAAUUAGCUUUACAGGGCCAGCCUUUUUUUGAGAAAAUGUAGGAAAUUAAUGAGCAACCUACAAUCAAAUACCACCGUUACUUUGCUCAUUGGCUAUUUAUAGUACUGUUUUUAGCUUUAGCUGCUAUACAUUUGUUGUAACAUUACCUGACGCUAUGGGGUAGUGACGUUCACUGUAAACAAAUUCAUUCUGAAUAUUUUGACAGUUUGUUUAUUGGUAUAAUGCAUUUUAAGAAUAAAGUAUAUAAUGCCUUGUUUGUAUAUUGAAGGAAAACUAUAUUGACCCAAAAGCUAUCUUAUGGUAUUUGUUUUAUUAGUGCAUUGUUGAAAUAG